rnacentral:rRNA from 1 species
AUUGAACGCUGGCGGAAUGCUUUACACAUGCACGUCGAACGGCAGCACGGACUUCGGUCUGGUGGCGAGUGGCGAACGGGUGAGUAAUACAUCGGAACGUGCCCAAUCGUGGGGGAUAACGUAGCGAAAGCUACGCUAAUACCGCCUACGAUCUAAGGAUCAAAGCGGGGGAUCGCAAGACCUCGCGCGCUUGGAGCGGCAGAUGGCAGACUAGGUAGUUGGUAGGGUAAAGGCCUACCAAGCCGACGAUCUGUAGCUGGUCUUAGAGGAUGAUCAGACACGCGAGGACUAGGACACGGACCAGACUCCUACGGGGGGCAGCAAUUGGGAAGUUUGGACAAUGGACGCAAGUCUGCUCCAGCCAUUCCGCGUGCAGGAUGUAGGCCCUCGGGUUGUAAACUGCUUUUGUACAGAACGAAAAGGCUCUGGUUAAUACCUAGGGCUCAUGACGGUACUGUAAGAAUAAGCACCGGCUAACUGCGUGCCUGCCGCCGCAUUUA